AUCAAAUCAAUUGUAGAAGUUACAGGUCAGAAAUAACUGCCUAAACAGAAAUAGAAGGGAAUAAGGAGAGAGGCACAGGUCACUACACCCCAUGGCUUUCUUUUAUGUUCAACUACUAUCAUCAACAGUUUCUAUGAACAAAGCUCAGAAGCCAGUCUGAAAUUCCUCAGGUAAUCCAUGUCCUAGCUUUGAUGACACAUCGAUGCUACUUAUAGGAGGAUAUUCUUUCAGUGACAACGAUAACAAAAAGUGUGUCAUUCUGGCAUGUAUUGACCUAUACUGAAGUGUGUCAAAGAGCCAGCAAAUGAAGUAGGUCACAAUGUAUGUUGUAGUUUUUUGCACAGAAAUAGAAAAGCAAAAAGCACUGUUUUGCAUCUGAUUAUAACACAUUUCGCUACAGUUAUUUGGGGUCUUGUCUCAGAGGAAUCUGUCCAUACCAUUCUUCCUUACACAGCACUUUUCUGGUAAUUAGGACUAUGUAAUGCAAAA